rnacentral:lncRNA from 1 species
AUGGUGCAACCCUUUAAGGGCAACUCUUUUAACUUGCCUACAACCAAGUUGCCUGUCCAGUACAAGGGCUGGUCAGAAAUAUGGACUUUUGCAGUCUAUGAUGAUUAUCCCAUUCCCAGGCUGCUGGGAGAAGACUUAGCCAACCAUAUGAGGCUAACAAAAAGGGUGGGGAUGGUCACCCACAGCCAGGCUAAACAGACCUCCACACCUAACUCCAUUCCUGAGCCUCCUACAGGAACCCAGCCAGAGGUGGUAGAACAGGACUCCAGACCAGAGUCUAUGGCAGCAGUUGUAAAUCCAGUUCCUGAGACCCAGCCAGAACCAGCCCAAGGAUCGGAACUGGUGGAGCAGUCAGCACCAGAGCCCAUGCUUGCAACCCCACCAGAGUCAGGGGAGCCAGCACCAAAGGGCGCCACAGAGCCUGCACCUGCAGCAGUAGCUAAACCAAAGCAAGAGGCUCAACCGGAGCCUGAAAUACUACCUAGUGCACCAGCGGGGAGCGGUUCACAGUCAACAGAAACAACCCCAUCACCUGCAUUGCUUGCAGUGGGAUCAAGCCCAAGUCCACAACCCAGAGAGGAACUAAUGUCUCCAACAUCAAGGGAGCAGUUUCAGGCAGAGCAGGAAGCAGAUAAAAAACUCAAGGGAGCUUGGACGGCGGCACAGAGUGACCCACUGCCUCUCAGCUCUUCUAAUAGGUCCAGGUUUGUUAUAGAAGGAGGACUCUUAUACAAGGAGUCCUGGUGGGCACAAGGAGGGCACAAGGAGGACUGGCAUCCUCAGACACAGUUGGUAGUUCCAACUAAGUAUAGGGAAAAGCUCUUGAGCUUAGACCAAGAUCACCCUAGUGGCCAUGCUGGGAUGAACAGGACCAAAGACCAUUUGGGGAAGUCAUUUCACUGGGAGGGACUGGGCAAGGACAUUUCUACCUAUGUCCCGUCUUGUGAGGUGUGCCAAAGGGUGGGAAAGCCCCAAGACCAGGUCAAGGCCCCUCUCCAGUCACUCCCCAUCAUUGAGGUUCCAUUUCAGCAGGUAGCUGUGGAUAUUCUGGGUCCUUUCUCUAAGAAGACACCCAGAGGAAAGCUGUACAUACUGAUUUUCAUGUAUUUUGUCACCCGAUGGCUGGAAGCAGUAGCUCUAAGCAACGUCUUUGGGAAGCUCAUGGGGUGA